AUGCUCUCUUUGGCAGCACAUGUACUAAAGUUGGAAUGACAGAGAAGAUUAGCAUGGCCUCUGCACAAGGAUGACACGGAAAUUUGUGAAGUGUUCCAUAUUUUU
rnacentral:snRNA from 1 species